rnacentral:rRNA from 1 species
AUUGAACGCUGGCGGCAUGCCUUACACAUGCAAGUCGAACGGCAGCGGGGGAGAAGCUUGCUUUUCCUGCCGGCGAGUGGCGAGCGGGUGAGUAAUACAUCGGAACGUGCCCUGUAGUGGGGGAUAACUAGUCGAAAGAUUAGCUAAUACCGCAUACGACCUGAGGGUGAAAGUGGGGGACCGCAAGGCCUCAUGCUAUAGGAGCGGCCGAUGUCUGAUUAGCUAGUUGGUGGGGUAAAGGCCUACCAAGGCGACGAUCAGUAGCUGGUCUGAGAGGACGAUCAGCCACACUGGGACUGAGACACGGCCCAGACUCCUACGGGAGGCAGCAGUGGGGAAUUUUGGACAAUGGGCGAAAGCCUGAUCCAGCAAUGCCGCGUGUGUGAAGAAGGCCUUCGGGUUGUAAAGCACUUUUGUCCGGAAAGAAAUGGCUCUGGUUAAUACCUGGGGUCGAUGACGGUACCGGAAGAAUAAGGACCGGCUAACUACGUGCCAGCAGCCGCGGUAA